AUUGAACGCUGGCGGCAGGCCUAACACAUGCAAGUCGAGCGAGCGGCGGACGGGUGAGUAAUGUAUGGGGACUGCCCGAUAGAGGGGGAUAACUACUGGAAACGGUAGCUAAUACCGCAUACUAUCGGAUAACCCAUAUGGGAUUAGCUAGUAGGUGAGGUAAUGGCUCACCUAGGCGACGAUCCCUAGCUGGUCUGAGAGGAUGAGCAGCCAGCCUGGGACUGAGACACGGCCCAGACUCCUCGGGAGGCAGCCUUGGGGAAUAUUGCACAAUGGGCGCAAUCCUGAUGCAGCCAUGCCGCGUGUAUGAAGCAGGCCCUAGGGUUGUAAAGUACUUUCAGUCGGGAGGCGUUACCGACAGAAGAAGCACCGGCUAACUCCGUGCCAGCCGCCGCGGUAAUAC
rnacentral:rRNA from 1 species